rnacentral:pre_miRNA from 1 species
UCUUAUGAAUGAGCAAAGGAAACAGUUUCUUCAGAUGGAGUCUACUCCUGGUGAAGAUGCUGCAAC